rnacentral:rRNA from 1 species
GAUGAACGCUGGCGGCGUGCCUAAUACAUGCAAGUCGAGCGAACAGACGAGGCGCUUGCUCCUCUGACGUUAGCGGCGGACGUGUGAGUAACACGUGGAUAACCUACCUAUAAGUCUGGUAUAACUUCGGGAAUCCGGCGCUAAUACCGGAUAAUAUCUUGAACCGCAUGGUUCAUUAGUGAAAGACGGUUUUGCUGUCACUUAUAGAUGGAUCCGGGCCGCAUUAGCUAGUUGGUAAGGUAACGGCUUACCAAGGCAACGAUGGGUAGCCGACCUGAGAGAGUGGUAGGCCGCAUGAGAGGGGAGACGCGCACCAGGCGACUACGGGAGGCAGCAGUAGGCAAUCGUACGCAAUAGGCGAAAGCAUGGCAGAACGAGGCGAAGUCAGAUAUGGCGACGUUCGGAUCGUAAAGAUGUGUUAUGAGGGAAAAACAGAUGUGUCAGGAGAUAUGGCGGGAUUGACGGUACCGAAUCAGAAAGCACCGGCUAACUACGUG